rnacentral:lncRNA from 1 species
GGACUCUCAAACCAAACUACCUGGAUUUGAAUCCCAGCUAUACCACAUACAAGCAAUAUGGCCUUGGGCAAGUCAGUUGACCUCCUGGGGCCUUAGCUUCAUCAUCUGCAAUAUAGAAAUAACAAUAAUCACACCCAUGGACUGUUGUGAGUUUCCCAGAAAGUGGUUAGAUCAAUGUAAAUGCACAUUACAAAGGCCGUAUGCAUUUCAGCUAUUAUCGCAUUGCUCCUGAUGGUGAGCUACCAGCUGUAUCAGAAUUGACUCACCUGUGGAGCUGCCUUCCUGGAAUGCUGAUGUCAUGGCCAUGAGUGAGCAUCCCAGUGUUCCUCCAAAUCUUGGCUCACCUACAAAAGCUGUCAAGAGGUGCAGGUCACAGAGGCUCCUGACCACAAUGUGCCUUUGGUUCUAUUUGUCAAACAUCCUAUGAGGACUGUCACAUACAUUAUCUCAUUUCAACUUCUCACCAACCCAUAAAAUGAAACAGAGACUCAGAGAGACCUUGCCCAAGUCUCACAGCCAGAAUGUGAGCCCAGAUCUAACUGUACAUUUAACUCAUGCCUCUGCCUCUGUCCUGUCUCUGCCAGACCUUCCCAAGUCACUCUCGCUCACUUUCCCAAACCCCCAGCCCAUUUCCCAAUAGCAAGCAAAUAUCUAGUCAGGACAUUCAUUCAUUUUCAGUGGGCCCUAAGUGAAGCAAAACAAAGCGGUGAGGUUUCUCUCUGGCUCUGUGUGUGUGUUUGUUGUAUUUGGAGCUUCUACUUUCGUAGACAGUGACCCUAGAGCAGUAGAACAGGAAGAGACAGAGGCCCUCAGAGCACUUGAUGCUUCUAGAAUGUACCUGCUUACGUUAUGCCAAGGGCAUCAAGGGUGAUGGGCUGUGCUGAAUUCUGUGGAUAAGAAUAUGAGUGCGCAGCAGAGUGGACCAAAGCGUAGUUGAUGAUCUCCAAGAACUCUAUGAAAGAGAUGACUAUAAACAAAAGGGCCCUGCAUGUGUGCUCUAGGAACCUCAUGAAAGGAGGCCACUCUGCAGCCAGGUGACCAUAUAUGUGCACUAAAAGUGUGUGCCAUGCUCCGUCUUGGCAUCAUUAUCCUAGUUCUGUCCUGGCAUCAUACCCUUUUGUAUGUGUAUGGAGAGCUAGCAAAGUGGCCAGGCCUGGGGUGUGUUGAAGUCACCCUACCCACAGCAAUCCGGGGUGCUCACAGGGGCUGUUUGCACUCUUGCUGUCCAGCUGCAAUUGGACACACACAUGUGGUGGCUGUAGGAGAUGCCACAGAGCAGGACAAAUGUCCUCAUGAGAA